GAUGAACGCUGGCGGCGUGCCUAAUACAUGCAAGUCGAGCGAACAGACGAGGAGCUUGCUCCUCUGACGUUAGCGGCGGACGGGUGAGUAACACGUGGAUAACCUACCUAUAAGACUGGGAUAACUUCGGGAAACCGGAGCUAAUACCGGAUAAUAUAUUGAACCGCAUGGUUCAUUAGUGAAAGACGGUUUUGCUGUCACUUAUAGAUGGAUCCGCGCCGCAUUAGCUAGUUGGUACGGUAACGGCUUACCAAGGCGACGAUGCGUAGCCGACCUGAGAGGGUGAUCGGCCACACUGGAACUGAGACACGGUCCAGAAUCUGACGGGAGGCAGCAGUAGGGAAUCUUCCGCAAUGGGCGAAAGCCUGACGGAGCAACGCGGCGUGAGUGAUGAAGGGCUUCGGAUCGUAAAACGCUGUUAUUAGGGAAGAACAAAUGUGUAAGUAACUAUGCACGUCUGGACGGUACAUAAUCAGAAAACCACGGCUAACUACGU
rnacentral:rRNA from 1 species